ACGUAGGGGGCGAGCGUUGUCCGGAUUUAUUGGGCGUAAAGAGCGUGUAGGCGGCUUGGUAGGUCUGCUGUGAAAACUCGGGGCUCAACCCCGAGACGUCGGUGGAAACCACCUGGCUAGAGUCCGGAAGAGGAGAGUGGAAUUCCUGGUGUAGCGGAGAAAUGCGCAGAUAUCAGGAAGAAUAUCCGUGGCGAAGGCGGCUCUCUGGUACGGAACUGACGCUGAGACGCGAAAGCGUGGGGAGCGAACAGGA
rnacentral:rRNA from 1 species